rnacentral:tRNA from 3 species
GGGCCGUUAGCUCAGUUGGUAGAGCACCGGACUUUUAAUCCGUUGGUCCUGCGUUCGAGUCGCAGACGGCCCACCA